rnacentral:rRNA from 1 species
UACGUAGGUGACAAGCGUUGUCCGGAUUUACUGGGCGUAAAGAGCGCGCAGGCGGUCGUUCAAGUCGAGUGUGAAAGCCCCCGGCUCAACUGGGGAGGGUCAUUCGAUACUGAUCGACUCGAAGGCAGGAGAGGGUAGUGGAAUUCCCGGUGUAGUGGUGAAAUGCGUAGAUAUCGGGAGGAACACCAACGGCGAAGGCAGCUCGCUGGGACGGUACUGACGCUGAGACGCGAAAGCGUGGGGAGCGAACAGG